rnacentral:tRNA from 1 species
GGGCGGUUAGCUCAGUUGGUAGAGCACACGCUUGACGUGCGUGGGGUCAUAAGUUCAAAUCUUAUACCGCCCACCA